GGAUGUGGGAUUUCGAAGACAACCAGGAUGUUGGCUCAGAAGCAGCCAUCCAUUCAAAGAGUGCGUAAUAGCUCACUGGUCGAGAGGUCCUGCGCCGAAAAUGUCCGGGGCUGAAACGCGCCACCGAAACUAAGGAACCGAAAGGUUGGUAGAGGAGCAUUGCAUGCGGAACGAAGCAGUACCGAAAGGAGCUGUGGACUGCAUGGAAGAGAGAAUGCCGGAAUGAGUAGCGAGAUAGAGGUGGGAAUCCUCUAGGCCGAAUAUCCAAGGUUUCCAGAGUAAAGCUGAUCUGCUCUGGGUAAGUCGGGGCCUAAGGCGAGGACGAGAGUCGUAGCCGAUGGACAACAGGUGGAGAUUCCUGUACUGCGGUAUGACAGAACUGUGGGGACACGUAAGGAAAGCGGAAGCCGGGAAUGGAAAGCCCGGUGCAAGCGGGGUACCAGUCACUUUGGCAAAUCCGGGUGGCAAUGGGAAGCCGUGAUGCGGAGCGAAAUAAAGUAG
rnacentral:rRNA from 1 species